rnacentral:miRNA from 1 species
GUGAGGAUGAGAUUUAGAGAGAGGAUGAGAGGGAGGAGUAACAAAAGUGAAAACAAUUUGAAAUAGAAUUCAGUUUUUGUUUUCACUUUUGUUACUUCUCCCUCUCAUCCUAUCCUCUCAUCUUUAUUUUCAAU